CGUGUCCACUGGAAUCAAGAUGGCCGCCACGAUCACGUGUCCACUGGAGCCAAGAUGGCCGCCACAAUCAUGUGUCCACUGGAACCAAGAUGGAAGCCAUGAUCACGUGUCCACUGGAGCCAAGAUGGCCACCAUGAUGCUGCUUCCACUGGAGCCAAGAUGGCCGCCAUGAUCACGUGUCCACUGGAAUCAAGAUGGCCGCCAUGAUCACGUGUCCACUGGAACCAAGAUGGCCGCCAUGAUGCCGUGUCCACUUGAGCCAAGAUGGCCGCCAGGAUCACGUGCCCACUGGAGCCAAGAUGGCCGCCAUGAUUCCUCCUGAUGAGAUCAAGAUGGCCGCCAAGUCCCAAGUCCACUCAGGCCACAAUGGCCGCCAUGAUUCCUUCCGACGCCACCGGAACCAAGAUGGCCGCCGCCAGACGGGAAGCCAUCCGGUUUAAAGAUGGCCGCCUCCACGUGACAUCACCAUUUUCCACACGGCCUCCAGUUCCGCCAUGACCACAUCCAAGAUGCAUGCCAGUAUCCAUCGCAGCUUCCGGUUCAAGAUGGCGGCCAGCCCCCAGCUUCCGGUUCGAUUGCCGCAAGCCGCCCCGUUUCCGGUUCAAAAUGGCCGCCAGCCCCCACAACUUCCGGUUCAAGAUGGCCGCUGCCGUGACGUCACCACACCCUCAGGGCGGCCAUGUUGGGCGUCCCAUGGCGGCGAUACCCAGGGGCCACCUUAGGCUCAACUCGUCCGCCAUCUUGGGGUCCCCCAGCGGCCAUCUUGAGGUCAACAUGUCCGCCAUCUUGGGGUCACCCGGCAGCCAUCUUGGCCGCAUCCCAGUCAGCCAUCUUGGGGCCAACGUGCCCGCCAUCUUAGGGUCGCCCAGUGGCCAUCUUGGCCCUUGUCGGCCAUCUUGGCUCCCUUGUCAGCCAUCUUGGCCGUGUCGGCCAUCUUGGCUC
rnacentral:lncRNA from 1 species